GCGCACCCAAAAAACGACAAGACAAUUCACCAAAAAGGAUUCUAACAACAGAGACGGUCAAAGUUCAAACGCAUGUUAGCGUAGGUAGCCUGCAAUGGUCAGAUACCACAGCUUUCAGUUAAGUUGCUUGGCUGUCUAUAACGUUUUCCUGACUAUGAGGUGAUUGUAGGUACGUUUUCUAGCUAGCUAAGAACAUGUUUUUUAUGCGCAGUACCGCAUAGUAGGAAAGCUUCAUGCCAGGCUCACUCAAAAAUGUAAUUAGUCACAGCAUUGGCAGCAUGUGUGAAGGGGUGUGAAACGAACACUGCAAAGUCGGAAAUUGUCGGCUACGCGGUUUACACCAUCAUCGUGACAACCAACAUGGCGUUUGAAGAUCAAGCAUUGGAACAAGGUGUACAGAGUAGAACAGGCACCCAACAGACAGACAAGUCCAUCACUAAUACACUACGGAUGGAUCCAGCUGAUUACAGGCAAUUUGGAAAAGAUUGUUCUUUAUCUGCUACAGUUCACUGUCACUUUGGGUACAGAUUAAUUGACCUUUUGUGCUAUGUUUGGUUUUACUUUGUCUCCAAUUUCACUUUAAUUGAAACAGUGAAUCUUGUAGAUGUAUCAGUAGGGUUCCUAUAUACCCAUUAUUGGUAGUAUUCUUAUUCUCCUUCUGCAUAAAGCUGCCCAAUAACUUAAGAUCUCCUUGGUAACUUUCUAAUUUGGCACAUUGAAACUACAGGCCACAAGUAACUCCCACUCAUCAAAUGGCCAACAUUCGCCCAUAGGUAGUGUUACAGGCCACACCCCAAUGUUUUCAUUUUCUAAGUAAUAACAUAUCUUGCCUGUUUGUCAAUAAUUGUCCAUUUAUGAAACCUGUCACAUAUACCUAAUUUCUCAUGAGAAAUAAACAAAUAAACUCAAGACACCAUGUAGUCUGCCAUCUUGUAUUGUUCUGUAUAGCAAACAUUUGGCCAAAACUACAAGUUUUAUGUCCCACUCGUCCAAUUGACUUAUGGGAUAAAUGACUGAUUAGGGUGUUAAAGGCUAAGAGAAGUCCCAAAAUGGUGGAUUUAUUUGCAUAUAAGUGAAUUGCGAACCGUGGCACAUAUUUCAUGUGUCCAGAAUUCAAUGACACAUUGACAAUUGUAUAAAAUAACUGCUGAAUACAUUUACAGAUUGCCUUUAAUGUAGCUAUUUUUCAUGUGUUCUGACAUACAUGUGCCAUACAUUUACAGACCUUUGUUUCAUGUUAAUAUAUUUUUGAACAUAGUAAAACAUGUAGAUAUAAUAGGAAAUUCCAUAACAAAAAGGUAAUACCCUAAAUUUACAGAGAUUUAAAUAAUGUUUAAAUAUAGCUAGUAUUCAUGUAUUAACAAUGCUUAGUUUUCCAUUGUUCAGUUAAAUGUUUACCUUAAAAUUCUCUAAAAUGACUAA